AGGCGCAAAAGUUUGCCAAUGUGUUCCUGGUUGCGUUUAGCCCAGACGCCCUGCGGCCGCUUUGCCUGACCAAAGUCUGUGGGCGUGGAACAGGCCCUGGGUUCUCCUACUGGGAAGAAUGAAGUUCAGGUACUCCAUGUGAUAUAUGGUUCCACAAUCCUCAGCGUGUUAACUGAAGCCUUGUUGAGUUUAACAAAGCUGCCAUUGAAGAUCUGGGGAAAGUGAAGAAGUUGCAACAGAGUUUUGGGCUCACACCAUUGAUACAUUUGAUCCUUAAGGCAAGCCCACCCCGCCUCACUCCCACCCUCUUCUACUUAAUUCAGGAUGUGAAUAGCACAUGCCUUCCAUCUUCAGACAAACACUGAGGCCUGGACAAUGACCUGCAUUAGGUAGAUAGAAUCUACUGAAAGCUAAAAGCCUUUUCCUGUGUCUUAGCAGCACGGAAGCCACGCCUCCUUCCCCCCAAUGUUUGUGCAAACCCUAGAGAAGAGGAGACAGCCCCUAUGAUGUGUGAGGUUGAAUUUCCUGCCCUCAACCCAUCAAAUCAGGCAGAAUGAGGGCUCAGUCAGAACUACAACUACAAAAGAGAAAAAUUUUAAUGUGACUUUUCUUGUCUGCUCAGAUUUUUGGGUUAAGGUUCAUGCCAGCUACAUUCUUUGCAUAAUAAAAUAUAAAUAGAGUAUAAAUUGUUCUAGUUAGAGAAAACAGCAAAACAGUGCUCUCCCAAGGGCCCUAAUAAAUCACUUUACAGAAACGUGGAUGUGUGUUGGAUUUACAGGAUUUCUAUGCCAAGCAGAGAAGUACGUGAAAACAGGAAAGCAAAAUGCAUAAGUUGCAAUAAUAGUUUUGUGGUUUAGCUGAAUAAUGUCCUAUAUCAACAGAGGAUAAUGAUUUUAGUUUUUCAGUUGCCCCAAGAUCAUUUCCAUUACUGAUGAGGCUUGAAAUGUCUGUGAAGAAGAGUCAUUGCAAUUGAUUUAUUUGUCUGGCAAACUUUUUGUCAGCAAAUUCACCACUACCUCAAAAAUCUCACUAGCUACUCUAUGCUUAAGACAUUGGAAGCAUAAGCCACAAUGAAAACUAACUCUUAGCAUUAGAAUUCUAAGAAGCAGUAAUGUAUUUAUGAUUUUAUGUUAAAAAUCUCCCAGAUGUCAGCAUUUAAAUCACAAUUCAGUAAUAUAAGUAAUUUGAAAUUAGAAAGUUUUAUACUUCACCAUUCUAUUUUCCUCUUCAAAUUGAACACAGUUUGAAAGAAUUAAGAAAAGAAGCUAUAAAAAAUAAAUUGUUCAAGGAUUCUUCCUGUUUCUAAACACCACAAGAUUAUGAUGAUAGAGACAUCAUUUGAAGUGGUAGAGAGUACUGUGAAAUAUCUAUAUGUGAAUGUAAUGAAAAUGAAAAAAUAAUCUGAUGAAUUUUUAAAAUUAAUCUUGUUAGAGUCAUUUUUGAGAAAUUGUAUGCAAGUGUAUUGAUUGAAAAUGACCUUCUCAUUCAAGAAAAAUUUAUUGAGCACUUACCAAGUGUCAACAGGUGAAUGUGAAUAAAAUAGAUAUGGUCCCUGCCUUCUUGGAGUUGAAUAAAAUAGCAAACACUUAUUGAAUAUUUGCCCACCCCGCCUCACUCCCACCCUCUUCUACUUAAUUCAGGAUGUGAAUAGCACAUGCCUUCCAUCUUCAGACAAACACUGAGGCCUGGACAAUGACCUGCAUUAGGUAGAUAGAAUCUACUGAAAGCUAAAAGCCUUUUCCUGUGUCUUAGCAGCACGGAAGCCACGCCUCCUUCCCCCCAAUGUUUGUGCAAACCCUAGAGAAGAGGAGACAGCCCCUAUGAUGUGUGAGGUUGAAUUUCCUGCCCUCAACCCAUCAAAUCAGGCAGAAUGAGGGCUCAGUCAGAACUACAACUACAAAAGAGAAAAAUUUUAAUGUGACUUUUCUUGUCUGCUCAGAUUUUUGGGUUAAGGUUCAUGCCAGCUACAUUCUUUGCAUAAUAAAAUAUAAAUAGAGUAUAAAUUGUUCUAGUUAGAGAAAACAGCAAAACAGUGCUCUCCCAAGGGCCCUAAUAAAUCACUUUACAGAAACGUGGAUGUGUGUUGGAUUUACAGGAUUUCUAUGCCAAGCAGAGAAGUACGUGAAAACAGGAAAGCAAAAUGCAUAAGUUGCAAUAAUAGUUUUGUGGUUUAGCUGAAUAAUGUCCUAUAUCAACAGAGGAUAAUGAUUUUAGUUUUUCAGUUGCCCCAAGAUCAUUUCCAUUACUGAUGAGGCUUGAAAUGUCUGUGAAGAAGAGUCAUUGCAAUUGAUUUAUUUGUCUGGCAAACUUUUUGUCAGCAAAUUCACCACUACCUCAAAAAUCUCACUAGCUACUCUAUGCUUAAGACAUUGGAAGCAUAAGCCACAAUGAAAACUAACUCUUAGCAUUAGAAUUCUAAGAAGCAGUAAUGUAUUUAUGAUUUUAUGUUAAAAAUCUCCCAGAUGUCAGCAUUUAAAUCACAAUUCAGUAAUAUAAGUAAUUUGAAAUUAGAAAGUUUUAUACUUCACCAUUCUAUUUUCCUCUUCAAAUUGAACACAGUUUGAAAGAAUUAAGAAAAGAAGCUAUAAAAAAUAAAUUGUUCAAGGAUUCUUCCUGUUUCUAAACACCACAAGAUUAUGAUGAUAGAGACAUCAUUUGAAGUGGUAGAGAGUACUGUGAAAUAUCUAUAUGUGAAUGUAAUGAAAAUGAAAAAAUAAUCUGAUGAAUUUUUAAAAUUAAUCUUGUUAGAGUCAUUUUUGAGAAAUUGUAUGCAAGUGUAUUGAUUGAAAAUGACCUUCUCAUUCAAGAAAAAUUUAUUGAGCACUUACCAAGUGUCAACAGGUGAAUGUGAAUAAAAUAGAUAUGGUCCCUGCCUUCUUGGAGUUGAAUAAAAUAGCAAACACUUAUUGAAUAUUUAUUAUAUGUUGUGCAUUAUAAUAUUAACCAAUGUUUAUUGAGUUGUUAUUAUAUGCCAACUAUGCCAAUCCUGUCCUAAGCAAUUUAUGUAUGUUAACUAAUUUAAUCCUCACAAUAAAUCUAUGAGGUAGGUA
rnacentral:lncRNA from 1 species